CUUCCGCUUACUCGGGGAUAGCCUUUCGAAAGAAAGAUUAAUACCCGAUUGUAUCUUAAGCACGCAUGAGAUUAAGAUUAAAGAUUUAUCGGUAAGCGAUGGGGAUGCGUUCCAUUAGGCAGUUGGCGGGGUAACGGCCCACCAAACCUACGAUGGAUAGGGGUUCUGAGAGGAAGGUCCCCCACAUUGGAACUGAGACACGGUCCAAACUCCUACGGGAGGCAGCAGUGAGGAAUAUUGGCCAAUGGGCGAGAGCCUGAACCAGCCAAGUAGCGUGAAGGAUGACGGCCCUACGGGUUGUAAACUUCUUUUGUGCGGGAAUAAAGGAGCCUACGUGUAGGCUUUUGCAUGUACCGUAACGAAUAAGCAUCGGCUAACUCCGUGCCAGCAGCCGCGGUAAUACGGAGGAUGCGAGCGUUAUCCGGAUUUAUUGGGUUUAAAGGGAGCGUAGACGGGUUUUUAAGUCAGCUGUGAAAGUUUGGGGCUCAACCUUAAAAUUGCAGUUGAAACUGG
rnacentral:rRNA from 1 species